CAAUGAGCAAUCAUACAAAAAUGACAGAUUCCAAAUUCAAAUGUAAAUUUUGUUUAUUUUUAAUUGUAACAGUAGGUAUUUAUGGCCAGACUAAGUACACACUAAUUACACAGUUCCAAAUCUAAAUUACUAUAAUAAUAAAUUCGUAGUUCCAAAUAUGAAAACGUAAAAGUCAGCCAGAGAAGAUGAAUUUUCGUUAACGUUUCUUUGUUCAAUCGAUGAGCCUUAUCAGUUAUUGGCUUGUUAACAAAAUUUGAAAAAAUAAAAACAGUACAUUUCGGACUCGUAUUAAAAUACUACAGUGAGGCAAAUUUAGUGGAUUAUGGCAAAUAAGUGAAGCACGUGAGCUGACGCGGGCUUGUAUACAAAUAUCAAGAUUAGAUCUAUUAUGUCUGCAGAAUCUUUAUUCGUAGCCUCCAGAUGCCUUCUGGGAAAACGCUGGAUUCAUAAUACGCCAGAAUAAUGCUUAGUAGAAUUUUUAGUAGAAAAGUUUUCAGAUGAUCUACUCGAAAUCCGUUUCUGACCGUGAUCCGUGUAUAAUUGUGUUUCAAAAUCUGAUCUGAUAAAUAAAAUUAUGAUUUAAUCUUUCA